ensembl:snoRNA
GCACUUAUUUGAUAGACUGGGAGCAGUUACUGUCUGUUGCUAAUGUUUCCAAAUGUAGGGAAAGAAGUGUCCUCUUGCAUUCUACUGCCUCAUUGUGGCAGCCAAGACUUAAUGGGGGAACACGGGA